CUAAAAAACUGCCAAAUUGCAGUCUGCACUGCGUACCGGUACGCGGGAAGGAGUAUUAGUACCAAACAGCAGUCUGCGCAAACCGAGCCUCUCCCAGGUGGGAAAAUGCACUGGGUACCGUACUCCGCCGAUGCAGUACCGGUACUUAACCCUGCGGCGUACCGAUACUCGGCCAAUGCCGUACCGGUACCCGACCACCCAACAGCUCAAACCCGAUAGCAGCAUUUCUCGGUUUAAACAGGGGAGUUCCAGUACCUCUUCUCCUCUCGGAUCCCUGCAUCCAUAGGCACACACAGUCGGUCCUGAACUGUCCACAACAAAAUCCUCUGUCUGUCCCCUCUCCAUCUGCUCUCGAAUCCUCAACAAGUGAGAGUCUCCACUCAGUUUCUCUCUGAUCCAAUCUAAUAGAGUAGGCUGCAAGACC
rnacentral:lncRNA from 1 species